rnacentral:rRNA from 1 species
AAUCAACGCUGGCGGCGUGCCUCAGACAUGCAAGUCGAACGAUUAAAGCUCUCUUCGGAGAGUGUAUAGAGUGGCGCACGGGUGAGUAACACGUAAGUAAUCUACCUUUGAGUGGGGAAUAACAGUCGGAAACGACUGCUAAUACCGCAUAAUGCAGCGGCACCGCAAGGUGACAGUUGUUAAGGAGCAAUUCGCUUAAAGAGGAGCUUGCGGCAGAUUAGCUUGUUGGUAAGGUAACGGCUUACCAAGGCUACGAUCUGUAUCCGGUCUUAGAGGACGGUCGGACACACUGACACUGAAUAACGGGUCAGACUCCUACGGGAGGCAGCAGUCGGGAAUUUGGGCAAUGGGCGAAAGCCUGACCCAGCAACGCCGCGUGAAGGAUGAAGUA